rnacentral:miRNA from 1 species
AUUUACCCAUGGUGGGCUGAUA